rnacentral:rRNA from 1 species
GUAAAUAAUUAAGGGCGUAUGGUGGAUGCCUAGGCUCUCAGAGGCGAUGAAGGACGUGAUAAGCUGCGAAAAGCUCCGUUUAGGUGCAAAUAACCUUUGAUGCGGAGAUCUCCGAAUGGGAUAACCCAAUAUGUUGAAGACAUAUUAUACCGUAAGGUAGGCAAACGCAGGGAACUGAAACAUCUAAGUACCUGCAGGAGAAGAAAACAAACGUGAUUCCCCCAGUAGCGGCGAGCGACCGGGGAAAAGCCCAAACCGUUAUUGUUUCGGCAUUAACGGGGUAGUAGGACUGCAAGCUUGAUGAAAUAAAUGAAAUGGAACACCUUGGAAAAUGUGAUCACAGAGGGUGAUAAUCCCGUACAUGCAAGUUUAUGAAUCAUAGCAGACUCCUGAGUAAGUCGGGACACGUGUAAUCCUGACCGAAUCCGCCGGGACCAUCCGGCAAGGCUAAAUACUCCUGAGAGACCGAUAGUGAACCAGUACCGUGAGGGAAAGGUGAAAAGCACUUCGAACAGAAGAGUGAAAUAGUCCCUGAACCCAUACGCCUACAAGCUGUCGGAGCCGCUUCGUGCGGUGACGGCGUGCCUUUUGCAUAAUGAGCCUACGAGUUACUCAUCACCAGCGAGGUUAAGUACUUCAGGUACGUAAGCCGAAGCGAAAGCGAGUCUGAAUAGGGCGUCAAGUUGGUGGUGGUAGACGCGAAACCUUAGUGAUCUACCCAUGGGCAGGGUGAAGGUUUGGUAACACAAACUGGAGGCCCGAACCGGUAAACGUUGAAAAGUUUUCGGAUGACCUGUGGGUAGGGGUGAAAGGCCAAUCAAACUGGGAAAUAGCUCGUACUCUCCGAAAUGCAUUUAGGUGCAGCCUCUGUUGUUUUGUUCUAGAGGUAGAGCUACUGAUUGGAUGCGAGGGCUUCACCGCCUAUCAAAUCCGGCCAAACUCCGAAUGCUAGAACAUGAAGACAGGGAGUGAGCCAGCGGGUGCUAAGGUCCGUUGACGAAAGAGGGAGAACUCAGACCAUCAGCUAAGGUCCCCAAUUAUAUGCUAAGUUGGAAUUAAAACGGGGUGGGACUGCUUAGACAGCUAGGAUGUUGGCUUGGAAGCAGCCAUUCAUUUAAAGAGUGCGUAACAGCUCACUAGUCGAGCGGUCCUGCAUGGAUAAUACGCGGGCAUAAGCAUAUAACCGAAGCUAUGGGAUUGUAGAUGAUACAAUCGGUAGGAGAGCAUUCCAUUCAGCAUAGAAGCAGUACCGUGAGGUAUUGUGGAGCGGAUGGAAAAGCAAAUGUAGGCAUAAGUAACGAUAAUGCGGGUGAGAACCCCGCACGCCGAAAGAUCAAGGAUUCCCCGGCAAUGUCAAUCAUCCGGGGGUAAGUCGGAUCCUAAGGGUAAGCCGAGUGGCGAUCCCGAUGGUAAACAGGUUAAUAUUCCUGUACUGAUCAUAACUGCGAUGCAGCGACGCAGAGGUGACACUGCUGCGUACUGACGGAAUAGUACGUUGAAACCCGUAUUCUUUGAUACCGGUAGUGAAGCACGCCGGUAGAGAUGAAAGGUGAUAGUACCGCAAUGCUUCGGUUGCGCGGAUAAUGCAGGUAAGCUGACUGCCAAGAAAACCUGCUAAGCUUCAGGUAAUGAUCAUCCGUACUGUAAACGGACACACGUGAUCAGGUAGAAAAUACUAAGGCGCUCGAGAGAUUCAUGGUUAAGGAACUAGGCAAAAUGGUCCUGUAACUUCGGGAUAAAGGACGCUCUUGUGAAAGAGCCGCAGAUAAUAGGCCCAGGCGACUGUUUACCAAAAACACAUGGCUAUGCUAAUUCGCAAGAAGAUGUAUAUGGCCUGACACCUGCCCGGUGCCGGAAGGUUAAGAGGAGAGCUCAGAGGUAACUCGAAGGUUUGAAUUGAAGCCCCGGUAAACGGCGGCCGUAACUAUAACGGUCCUAAGGUAGCGAAAUUCCUUGUCGGGU